rnacentral:rRNA from 1 species
GACGAACGCUGGCGGCGUGCCUAACACAUGCAAGUCGAGCGGAGGUACAAUGAGAGCAAUCGAGAUGUACUUUAGCGGCGGACGGGUGAGUAACGCGUGAGCAGCCUGCCUAUCACAGGGGGAUAAGGCGGCGAAAGCCGCUCUAAUACCGCAUGAGACCCUCAAAGCGAUGCAAUGGGGGUGAAAGGAGCGAUCCGGUGAGAGAUGGGCUCGCGUCCGAUUAGGUAGUUGGUAGGGUAAGGGCCUACCAAGCCAAUGAUCGGUAGCCGGCCUGAGAGGGUGAACGGCCACAUUGGAACUGAGAGACGGUCCAAACUCCUACGGGAGGCAGCAGUGGGGAAUAUUGGGCAAUGGGCGGAAGCCUGACCCAGCAACGCCGCGUGAGGGAAGAAGGUUUUCGGAUUGUAAACCUCUGUUCUUGGGGAAGAGGAGGAGACGGUACCCAAGGAGGAAGCCCCGGCUAACUACGUG